rnacentral:piRNA from 1 species
UGUCAUUUAAAGGUCACUCAGC